rnacentral:tRNA from 1 species
UAGGCGCGUAGCUCAGUGGGAGAGCGCUUCCUUGACGCGGAAGAGGUCGUGGGUUCGAUCCCCUCCGCGCCUACUCA